rnacentral:rRNA from 1 species
UACGUAGGGUGCAAGCGUUGUCCGGAAUUAUUGGGCGUAAAGAGCUCGUAGGCGGCUUGUCACGUCGGCUGUGAAAACCUGGGGCUCAACCCUGGGCCUGCAGUGGGUACGGGCAGACUAGAGUGCGGUAGGGGAGACUGGAAUUCCUGGUGUAGCGGUGAAAUGCGCAGAUAUCAGGAGGAACACCGGUGGCGAAGGCGGGUCUCUGGGCCGUAACUGACGCUGGAG